UUGUUUCAAAGAAGACAAUGCCAUAUCAACUUCUAAUUUCAUGACAUUUACCAUUACAUUACAAUAAAAGAAAGCUAAUAAGAUUGGUCAACUCUACUACUAAUUAGAGAUGUUGCCCCAUAUUCUCUAAUAAACAAUCAACUCUCUAAUUGUGUUUUCUUUUUUUCAUUUAAUUUCUAUACCCAAUAGGGUAUCAUUUCCUUGCUUUUGCAAUUAAAAAACUAUGCUAUUUUAUCUUAAAUUCAUUCGAACAUUCCUCUUUUUCUUGAAAAAUUUCUGAUUUUCCAAGAAGACAACAUGAAAGUGC
rnacentral:misc_RNA from 1 species